GCGCCAGUGGUAUAAUGGCGUAGAGUAUUCCCGCCCGGUUGGAGGGAGGUGCGGGUUCGAGUCCCGCCUGGCGGU
rfam:Heligmosomoides polygyrus genome assembly, scaffold: HPBE_scaffold0001020